GGCCUAAAUUUUUUUGGAUUGGACUCAGAUUAUAUAUGAACCUGACCCCGUCCAAAUAAUCCAAUAAGAUAAAGUUUUUGACCAUGGAUCUGAUCCAACCGAACUCGAUCUUUUAUUGGGUUGAGUUUGGUCCAACAUUAAAACCUGAUCAAAAAAUUAGAUUAGGUCAAAAUCACUUACGACUUGAUCUGACCCAACCUAUUUGCAUCCC
rnacentral:lncRNA from 1 species